AGAUUGGAUUUUCAAUCCAAUCCUUUCCAUAGAUAAAACCAUUCUAGAGUACACCCUUUUAGUCUUAUACAUCAUUCCAACAUAUCAUACUUCUAUUGAAUUAAGUUUCUUCAUUUCUUGAUCUUCUUUUCAUUAUCAAGUACUUUCAACUGAAUACCAAUUACUCACUAUGGCGUUUCAAGGGAUUGUUCCUAAUGGUGUAACAGAAAUUUUGAAGAAAUUGGUUCCGCUUGUUGCUCGAGAAAUUAGUCUGGCGUGGGGUGUCAAAGAUGAUCUGAAAAAGCCUCAAGACACUUUAGAGAUGAUUCUACUUGUAAUAGCUGAUGCUGAGAGGAAACAGAUCAAUGAUGCAGCUGUACGUCUUUGGUUAAGGAGGCUUAAAGAUGUUGCCUAUGAUGUGGACGAUGUGAUGGAUGAGUUUCCUAUGAAACCAUGCGGAGGUGUGAAAGGGGGAAUCGCUUGAGGAUCAAGGCUCGUGAUUUCUUUUCAUCCACCAACCCACUUGCUUUUCGUUUCGAGAUGUCUAGGAAAAUCAAACAUAUAAAUCAGAGGUUAGCUGAAAUCACCGAAAAUAUGAGUAAGUUUCAUUUGCAAACUACACCUGCUAGCAAUACUGUUACUCUUCCUGGUGAAAACAGUGAGCACCGGAGCCGAGAAACCACGCCCUAUAUUAAUGAAUCAAACAUUAUAGGGAGGGAGGAUGAAAAGGAGAAAAUAGUAAACAUGUUAACCAAAGUCAUACCAUCAUCAACAACACCAUCUGGUUCAGAUAGAAAUACGGAAAAGGUCUCUGUGGUUUCCAUAGUUGGUAUGGGAGCUCUAGGCAAGACAACUCUAGCUCAGCUCGUCUAUGAUGAUGAGAUGGUAAAUAAACUUUUUGAGUUAAAAUUGUAUCCGAAGAAUUUUAUAUGUGGAAAAGCUCUUAACAAAAAUUAUGGAGUCCUCCACGAAGAACAAGUUUGAUUCUCCUGUCAAGCUUUGCUGUACUGGUAAGUAAAGUUCAGGAACAACUAAAUGGGAAGAGAUAUUUGCUAGUAUUUGACGAUUUAUGGAACGACGAUGCUGGGCAAUGGGAGAGACUCUGCAGACCGUUGCUUGUUGGCGCUCAAGGGAGUAAAAUACUAAUCACUACUCGCAAAACUCAAGUUGCAGAUAUGGUUAAGGGGAGUAUUCCUCCUUACAUAUUGGAAAAGUUACAAGAAGAUGAAUGCUGGUGUAUCAUGGAGAAGAGAGCAUUUUCUCCCGGUGGAGCAGUAAAGACUCCAACCAUGACAAGCAUUGGAAAAGGAAUAGCAAAAAAAUGUAGUGGCGUACCGCUUGCAGCAAAAAUCUUGGGAGGUCUCAUGCGCUUAAAAAAUAAAGAAGGCGAUUGGUUGUCAAUUCAAGAACUUGAUGUUUUGAAUACAAGAGAAGGUCAAAGCGAAAUCAUACCCAUACUAAAGUUGAGCUAUGACAAUUUGUCGUCUGAGUUGAAACAAUGUUUCUCCUACUGCAGUAUAUUCCCCAAAGGUUGGGAGAUAAAUAGAGUAAGAUUGAUUCAGUUGUGGAUAGCAGAAGGAUUCCUGGAUUCUUGUAAUGUGGGAAGCAGAAGAUCAAUUGAAGACAUAUCGGAUGAAUACUUUGAGAGUUUGGUAUCGAGUUCAUUUCGGGAUGGUGCAGAAUGGAGCAUAUUGGGUGAUAUAAAGACGUUCAAGAUGCAUGAAAAAUAGCAGGUACUCUAUAAAUAUUCAUUCUUUUAGUUCCUCAAUUAUGAAAAAUAUACUUUAUCUUUCUGUCCAUCUUCCAAGGUUUUGCUUGAUAAUUUCAUCAUCACAGUCACAGGCGUCCGAGUUGAUUUAAUUAUCCAUUUUUCAAUUAGAUACUGUAAGUACUUUUGUUCAGAACAUGACAUAUAUCUGUGUAAGUUUCGGUGAGCAUUUGGUUUGAUUUUUUUCUCCUAUUUGGCUCAUAAGUAAUUGAAUACCUAAGGAGGGCCAUAAAAGCAAGCCGAUAUAGAUUUAUGAAUUUUGAUCCCAUGCCAUCUUCUAGUGCAGCCUGUAGGUGUGUGCAAAUAUGGAUUACCAUAUCUCAGCUCUGGAUUACGUUUGAUUUGGUUUGGUUGUGCAGUUGAAUGAAUAGAAAUGAAGCAGCAGAGAUGAUGAUAAAGCAGAGCCCACUAUUUUGUCAGAAUCCGACUUAGCUCAUAUGCAGGACUCACCGCAAUGUUGCAGAAGAUGGAAUCAUUGAAUAAUUAGAGCAUGCGCCAAAGAGAUAAAACGUCCAGUCCAGUUUCACAAAGCCACUGCACUGCAACUGACUAAUUCUACAGAAAACACUCAUUGGACUCUUAGUACACUAGCCCACUCCUUUAAGCAAUUUACUUUUCGUUAGGUUCUAAGCUGCUUUAAAAAGUGUUGUUUUUAAACUAAUCUGUUUUAUUAUUACAAUGUAUGCAAUGUAUUAUUUGGUUUCUUCUACAGUAUCAAUUUAUAUAUAAUCAGUUAUAAAUUCAAAAUCUACCUGAACCCAUCCAAAAGUAUGAUAAAUGCAAAUGUUCUCAACCUUUAGUGAGUUCUGAGUAGGCGUGUACCUCUUUGUUUUUGUUUUUUUGAUCAAAAAAAUAGAAUAUAUUAACUAGCAAAUGUAUUACAUAAGAUUUGCAAUAUCAUUUUUAUUAAAAACAUUAGAAGAAAUGCAAGUAGAAAGGACUUUUUGUUGCAUAAGAUUGGACAUAUGUUGUAACCUUUUUAAUUCUAGCUUCCUUAGCAUAUGAUUGGACAUAUGCAUUAUAGCUCAUGAUACGUAUUUUGAUUCAAAUUAGUAGUUUAGGGUCCCGAUUUUUACUUCAAAUCAGUACAUUAUUAUUCAGUCAGUCCUUUUAACGACGAUUUAAAUGCUUGAUAUCACUCCUCAACUUAAUGCAAUUUGUUUUUUUUGAAUUUCAUCAUAAUUAAACCAGAUUUUGUCGAAUUUCCUUCGAAAAAUUUCCUAAUUAUAAUUUCAGCCUAUUACAAUUGAAGUUAAAUUUUUUUGAUAAUAAUCCUUCAAUUUGAUGCAAUCGCCUCAGUUCAAAAAUUACGAAUUUUCAUUGUCAUCAAUUUUACUCAAGUUUGUUAAAUAUCAUUUCUUAUUUCCUUGAAUAAUCCUACAACUUCCCUAUAAUUCCACUCUAAUUUGUACAAUUUAUCCGAUUAUGCCAAAAUUUAUACGAAAUUAACAAUAUAUAACAAAUAAGUGUGAGUGGAAUAAUUCUAAUUUUAUUUUAUUGUAAUAGGUGAAGUAAUUAUUAACAAGUACGAUCCUCAAAACAAAGCUUUGUAAUCCAACGACCUGUUCCGAGAAACUUUUUGUUAAGCGGAAAAAGUUCCCCACUUCCCACCAUUUUCUUAUUUUCCCUCCAAAAUUUGGGGACAGCACACGUUCUUGAAUUUAAUUCUGUCACAUAUGUUGAAAGACUGGUGCUUGUUGGAACUUUAUGAAAAGAUGGUUCUAGAGCAUGGAGUUUUAACUAACUUCUUCGAUAUAAUUUUCUUGCAGGGAAAUCAAAAGAGGAUUGAACAGCUUUACACAAGAUUAAUCAAUUGCGCUGAACUGAAAAGGAAAACAAAGAGUAGAAGCUAGCAAUCAUGGUUUUCAUCUUCCCGUCGGACAAAAGGAAAUGUUAAGCUGCUGCUUACCUAAAUGUGAUUUCUUCUAUUUCCUGUCCUUAAGGAUCUCCAUGGUCAUGGGUACAAUGUUGAAGGUCUGCUUGAAUCUGCGGAAUCCUGAAACUUGUGGCUGCAAUGGCUUUUGAAACUUCACUCUGCUUUGCACACCAGUACGCAUUGUCAACACCAUCUGAAGAAACUUUACUCUGCAAGAAGUGAAAGACUUUUUCGGAGACAGUGUGAGGCUUCAACAGAACCUGGCUGAUUUCUUACUGAGUUAUGUGAACUACACUCCAGAUGGUGAUCAGUUCUUGAUCAAAGGUAUAGACUAGAAAAAAAGGUUUGCUCAUCUAGACUCGGUUAUUAAAACUUUCAUACACCUUUCUGUUAUUUUAUUCGUAUUUGCUUUAAUAUCGAAUCGUUCCCUACUUACUGAAAUAAGUACGUAGAAGCUUUACUGGACCUACUCACUCGAAUGUCGUGUAAAAUCAGCACUUCAAUUUUUUU